UACAUGGGGUGCAAACGUUGCUCGGAAUUAUUGGGCGUAAAGCGCGCGUAGGCGGUUGCUUAUGUCGGAUGUGAAAGCCCUCGGCUCAACUGAGGAAGUGCAUCCGAAACUGGGCAGCUAGAGUACUAAAGAGGGUCGCGGAAUUCCCGGUGUAGAGGUGAAAUGCGCAGAUAUCGGGAGGAACACCGGUGGCGAAGGCGGUUCUCUGGGCCUUACCUGACGCUGAGGAGCGAAAGCGUGGGGAGCAAACAGG
rnacentral:rRNA from 1 species